AUUGAACGCUGGCGGCAUGCCUUACACAUGCAAGUCGAACGCGAAAGGGGGCAACCCUGAGUAGAGUGGCGAACGGGUGAGUAAUGCAUCGGAACGUAUCCUGUAGCGGGGGACAACACCGAGAAAUCGGGGCUAAUACAGCAUACGUCCUACGGGAGAAAGUGGGGAACGCAAGGCCUCACACUAUAGGGGCGGCCGAUGCCAGAUUAGCUAGUUGGGGAGGUAAAAGCUCACCAAGGCGACGAUCCGUAGCUGGUCUGAGAGGAUGAUCAGCCACACUGGGACUGAGACACGGCCCAGACUCCUACGGGAGGCAGCAGUGGGGAAUUUUGGACAAUGGGCGCAAGCCUGAUCCAGCCAUGCCGCGUGAGUGAAGAAGGCCUUCGGGUUGUAAAGCUCUUUCGGCCGGGACGAAAUCGCUUCCGCUAAUAUCGGGAGUGGAUGACGGUACCGGAAGAAGAAGCACCGGCUAACUACGGGCCAGCCGCCGCCGUAA
rnacentral:rRNA from 1 species